AUUGAACGCUGGCGGCAUGCCUUACACAUGCAAGUCGAACGGCAGCAUGAUCUAGCUUGCUAGAUUGAUGGCGAGUGGCGAACGGGUGAGUAAUACAUCGGAACGUGCCCUGUAGUGGGGGAUAACUAGUCGAAAGAUUAGCUAAUACCGCAUACGACCUGAGGGUGAAAGUGGGGGACCGCAAGGCCUCAUGCUAUAGGAGCGGCCGAUGUCUGAUUAGCUAGUUGGUGAGGUAAAGGCUCACCAAGGCGACGAUCAGUAGCUGGUCUGAGAGGACGAUCAGCCACACUGGGACUGAGACACGGCCCAGACUCCUACGGGAGGCAGCAGUGGGGAAUUUUGGACAAUGGGCGAAAGCCUGAUCCAGCAAUGCCGCGUGUGUGAAGAAGGCCUUCGGGUUGUAAAGCACUUUUGUCCGGAAAGAAAUGGCUCUGGUUAAUACCUUGGGUCGAUGACGGUACCGGAAGAAUAAGGACCGGCUAACUACGUG
rnacentral:rRNA from 1 species